AGAGUUUGAUCCUGGCUCAGAACGAACGCUGGCGGCAGGCCUAACACAUGCAAGUCGAACGCACCGCAAGGUGAGUGGCAGACGGGUGAGUAACGCGUGGGAACGUGCCCUUCAGUUCGGGAUAACCCAGGGAAACUCGGGCUAAUACCGGAUACGUGCGAGAGCAGAAAGAUUCAUCGCUGAAGGAUCGGCCCGCGUCUGAUUAGCUAGUUGGUAGGGUAAUGGCCUACCAAGGCGACGAUCAGUAGCUGGUCUGAGAGGAUGAUCAGCCACAUUGGGACUGAGACACGGCCCAAACUCCUACGGGAGGCAGCAGUGGGGAAUAUUGGACAAUGGGCGCAAGCCUGAUCCAGCCAUGCCGCGUGAGUGAUGAAGGCCUUAGGGUUGUAAAGCUCUUUCGGCGGGGACGAUAAUGACGGUACCCGCAGAAGAAGCCCCGGCUAACUUCGUGCCAGCAGCCGCGGUAAUACGAAGGGGGCUAGCGUUGUUCGGAAUCACUGGGCGUAAAGGGCGCGUAGGCGGCUUGAUAAGUCGGGGGUGAAAGCCUGUGGCUCAACCACAGAAUUGCCUUCGAUACUGUCUGGCUUGAGACCGGAAGAGGUAAGUGGAACUGCGAGUGUAGAGGUGAAAUUCGUAGAUAUUCGCAAGAACACCAGUGGCGAAGGCGGCUUACUGGUCCGGUUCUGACGCUGAGGCGCGAAAGCGUGGGGAGCAAACAGGAUUAGAUACCCCAGUAGUCC
rnacentral:rRNA from 2 species